UGUUAUUAUUGCAGUGAAACUGUCCAUAAAUGAUGUCCACAUUAGAAGGAGAAGGGGAUUAUAACAAGUGGGACAAAGUCAGACAGGGGAGAGAGUUGGAGUUGAACUUCAAUGGAUUUCCGUUUUAUUUCAUUAAAUUUUAUACAGUUUAUAUAUUUUAUUAUUCCUAAAGUUAGUAAAGAUUUUGAGGGGGAUUGAGCUUUGUUGAAGGUCUGAAUAGGGGAGGGAGAAUAAAAAUUUAAAGAAAAAUGCGGACGUAAUUUAUGGACAGCCCCUAAUAUACCGUACAAUGCUUAAGAAAAAAUGAAAUAUCAAAAGUUACUAAUAUUAUUUGUAUAUUGUAAUUCAUUACAAAUAAAAUGAUUUAAAAUACUGUACAAGUUGAAAAUUUAUUUAAAAAAAAUGCACUAACAAUUAUGAAUAAAGCUAACAAUAAUUUCCGUAAACAAUUAAAAUAUUAUUUGUGAUUUUUCUUUAACAAUAUGGCUUUGAAGGAUGCUUUAAAAUAUUUGGAAGAGAGAGGUCACGUGAUCGUACACGAAGAUUUUUAUCGUCCAAAUACUUCAUCAGAUUCUAGCUUUAAUCCAACUUUUCAGCAGAGAUUUCGUGCUGGUGAACUUCCUGUAAAUCUUAUUCCAUACAGAUCAGACGGUACUUUGCAUUGGGUGACACCUUUAGAAAAGUUGGACACAUUUUAUUUUCUACCAAUAUUUUUCGACGGUUUAAAAGAGGUUCAGUCGCCAUUCGAUAUAAUUGCCAAUGUUGCAAAUGCUAACCGAAGCUGGAAAAAAUGGAAAUAUUCCAUUAGAAAAUAUCAUGAAUCCUUUAUGCUGUGGUCUAUCCAGUAAAAAUUGGGACGUUGUAAUUAAAUCUCUAAUUGCUCUUCAGCAUCUUUACAGCAUCACGACUCUCUCCUUAUAUCCAUUUUAUCCACGAUUCUUUCCAAUUUUGUUACAACUGAAACGAAAAUUAGAUGGUAACAUGAUGCAAGAACUAGUCGCCUUUGAUGAUAUAUACAGUACUGCUACUGUAAUAUUCCAGGAAAUUUUUAAAUGAAAAUUAAAAUUUCCGUUAAAUUACUGCAGGUGGUAAAUACAGAAUCAUGAACUGGAGUACGUCAUGUUGUAUGAGGUAGUACAACAGCUCGGGGGUAAGAGUUAGACCUGGAGGAAUAUCGUCUGAUACGCCCGGAUGGAUCAGACGAAGUGACGGCGUCUGGUUGACCACAGUCCGGUCAUGGUCCAGCAACCUUCUACCAGCUGUCUGUUUGCUAAUUCGAACAGUUCGCUUAGCAGAAACACGAAAUGAAAAUUGAGUUUGAUGGUAGUACAGGAAGCGGGUUUGGUUGCAUUGUAUAUGUGAAGGAGGAAUGGGUGUCCAGUCGGGAUAGAUCUUAUCUCUAUGAUCUAUGCGACCGACCACACUACCUGUGUUGCAUGUCAAUUGGCCUGCAUCAUGGCCUCAUCUUCACCUUAUAAUCUGACAAGGAUUUAUGAUGCAGAUCGAAAAGAACAGUAUCACAGGUUGAAUAAAUGGCUUAUAAUAAUAAUAGAAUGCUUUAUAUAAAAUAAAAAAAGAAUGAAAGUUUGAGAAAAUGGCCACGCUUUGUGAAUUACAUUAACAAUUUUUAUGAACAAGAUAAAGAUCUCAUCAACACAUCUACAAAAGAUGUUUAACUUCGGAUCUUCGCAGUUAUUUAUGUUACAUUUUUUAUGGUAAACAAUAUAUAUUAAAUUUUAUAUAU